UCGUGCAUGCAGCCUGGUGCAGCCGUUCCGAUCGAUUCUUACUUUCUUCUUCUUACUUUUUAAUUGACGUUAUUUUUUGUAUUUUUUUCUCACGGUAACACGUCGAAGUUGCACCCUCUCUAACAUGCUGCUUGAGAGAGUUGUAUUUGGAUUAUCUUUAGCGCUGGAAAUGGUUACAUCCCGACACGCGGAAUAGAAGCAAGGCCGCAUUGUGUAUUCCACGGACCAGCAAAGACCGGCCGGCUUAGCGAACAGAGCGGUGGACACCCCUGCUGAAAUCCGGAGGAAAACACACAGAGGGGGAUCACAAAGCCGAGGAAAGAGGACCGGGUCGAGACAACAGAGUCUUUUGGAGAAGAGGAGUUCGGUGGGUAAUACCGUUCCGGCUGACCGGAAGUGCACUGAGAGCGAUCCAGAGGACUACAAUAGCAUCCUGAUUGUUCGAUGCGCAUUGGGCGGACUGGCAAUUGUAAUGCUGAUUACAAUUUUGAUAAGAAUCGGAGUUAAGUCAAAACGUGGUAAGAUCAUGAAUGGUUUGACAAGUAUUUCCAUUUAUUACCUCUGCAGAAAGAAGGGGGAAAUGAUAAUGUGAGAAUCAAGAUUUUCAAGGCAUUAUCGGAUACUAUCCGAUAAUCCACAAUCGACAAUACUAAUCAGAAAUAACAGGAUUUUUUUUUAGAUUAUGAGAACACUCAGUCCUCUUUGAUUGUCAUUUAGAAAUGCAUGUAUGCAUUAAGAAAUGAUACAACGUUUCUCCGGAGUGAUGUCACAGAAAACAAGACAGAUCAAAGACUAACACUGACAGAACCACAUAAUUAUAACAUACAGUUACAGCAGUGCAAAGCAAUACCAUAUUUUGAUAAAGAACAGACCAUAGGCACAAUAAAGAAAAGUAUCGAAGUCCCCAGUAGAUCGACUCCCGAGUCCCCGAUAGCAGGCGGCGACAGGGAGAAACUCUCUGCCAUAAAUCUCCAGGCGCCGUCAACUUGCCGAUACCUUGGAAGCAGCCAACCCCAGCCGACCCUGAGUCCAUCCGUCCGAAAACUCCGAGCUUCCGAGCAGCCUCUCCGAUACAGCUUCCGGAGAGCCAUCCUCCGAUACAGCUUCCGGAGAGCCAUCCUCUGCCGAGCGCCUUCGACCUUUCCCCGGCCGCUGAAACACGCAAAACCGAGGAUUUCGGGGCCUUCAGCUCCGGAGCUUCCGCUUACCACACAGUAGCAGCGGUAGCAAAGCAUGCAUUUCAGAAGUUUUCCAGAUGUUCCGCUGUGCUCUCACGUCUGUCUCCAACAAAUCAGGAUUAUGCAUGGUCCCCUACUUGACAGAUACAGUAAUAGAUAUUCAUCACCGAAGUGGCCGCGCGAGCUGUCAUCGCGCCGCCAUCUUCUCCCCCCGCCCGGGAGGUAUUUUAUAUUCCCGUUCAAGUUAUCGAAUCAUCCCUUGUACCUACGAUUUUCAGACACCUGGAGUUUUCAGGCUGUGACUUCCUGCGGCGAUUAUACGCAAGCUGGAUUCGUGGCAGUUGAACAUAACCUUCCCUAUGCUGCACCAAACGCGAGAGAAAACAAAGUUAUUCACCAGGUCAGGCGCCAGGAGGAACAUGUUGUCUAGGCAAAGACUCGACGUGGCUGAGGUGAAAUGUUGACAGUGUCCGCUCUGCACCAUCGGCAUUUAAGCAGAGCAACAAGGAUUCAGUGUAGGCAGAUGUCAAGCUUUCACAAUAAGGGAGAAGCUGAAAAUCUGAAGGAAUGCAUGGCCAACGGAUUGUUUCCCCUUAUGUGCUGCCGGGGAGACUAAGUAGCGGCGGCUGAAAUAAUACUGAAAGUUAAGAAUAAGAAAAGUGGACAUUGUGAUAAA